ACUAACGCUGGCGGCGUGCCUAACACAUGCAAGUCGAACGAUCUUUGAUUUAUAGCAAUAUUAUUAAAGAGGAGUGGCGAACGGGUGAGUAACACGUAGAUAAUCUGCCUUCAGACGGGGACAACUCAGGGAAACUUGUGCUAAUACCCGAUGAGACCACAAGAAGGGAUUUUUGUGGCCAAAGGCGGGCAGCAAUGCUCGUGCUGAAAGAUGAGUCUGCGUCCUAUCAGCUAGUUGGUGGGGUAAAUGCCUACCAAGGCUAAGACGGGUAGCCGGCCUGAGAGGGUGAACGGCCACACUGGGACUGAGACACGGCCCAGACUCCUACGGGAGGCAGCAGUGAGGAAUUUUCCGCAAUGGGCGCAAGCCUGACGGAGCGACGCCGCGUGAGGGAUGACAGCUUUCGGGUUGUAAACCUCUUUUAUUAAGGAAAAAGAUCUAUAUGCUAAUAUCAUGUAGAUUUGAUGGUACUUAUUGAAUAAGCCCCGGCUAACUACGUGCCAGCCGCGGC
rnacentral:rRNA from 1 species